UUAUUUGCAUUUUCGUUUAAUUCAGUAUAUAAUAAAAAAGUCGUUAUUUCGGCUAUGGUGAUAAAGAUUAUGGUUAUUAGAUGACGUGGACUCGGGGGCAGAGCCCGACAUCUCCACCAAUUAAGGGGAUGAAUAGAUUCGACGCGCUUUGAAGGGCAUGAUUUUCACUCGUGAUGGUUUACGUUAUAAGACCACAAAUAUAAAUGCGAACGAUAAUGUUUAUGCAUGCAACGAUAAUCAUUACAUAGAUGGAGCAGUUCGUUCCGUCGUUAAUGGUUAAGUAGACGCGGUCAGGGGAAGCCGGGCAACAGAAUUCCCCGCU
rnacentral:tmRNA from 1 species